AGAGUUUGAUCAUGGCUCAGAUUGAACGCUGGCGGAAUGCUUUACACAUGCAAGUCGAACGAUGAACCUUAGCUUGCUAGGGGGAUUAGUGGCGAACGGGUGAGUAAUAUAUCGGAACGUGCCUUGUAAUGGGGGAUAACUAGUCGAAAGAUUAGCUAAUACCGCAUACGCCCUGAGGGGGAAAGUAGGGGAUCUUCGGACCUUACGUUAUAAGAGCGGCCGAUAUCUGAUUAGCUAGUUGGUGGGGUAAUGGCCUACCAAGGCUUCGAUCAGUAGCUGGUCUGAGAGGACGACCAGCCACACUGGAACUGAGACACGGUCCAGACUCCUACGGGAGGCAGCAGUGGGGAAUUUUGGACAAUGGGCGCAAGCCUGAUCCAGCCAUUCCGCGUGAGUGAAGAAGGCCUUCUGGGUUGUAAACUGCUUUUAUCUAGGAAGAAAACACCCAUGCGUGGGAAACUGACGGUACUAGAUGAAUAAGCACCGGCUAACUCCGUGCC
rnacentral:rRNA from 1 species